UGCUGGGAAAGGCAGUUCACAAGGCCCGCUACGUGAACCCAAGAUGACUGGGCCCACGUAGUACGUUGGGGUCGGUCCGGGCCUUGCCGGAGCCUCCGCGUUCCACGAUGACAGGCUUGCCCCGCUGCGGUAGCCCUUAGGCAUGCGCGACAGGCAUUUGUCUCAGCUAAGAACGCAAACUGAAGCCCUACUAUUUCUCGCCGGUUUGCGCUCUCGCCGGCUCGGGGUGCCCGCGGGCCGGCUUCUUUCGUCCCACCUCUCCCCACUUGGAAAGCUAAGCUUACUGUUGGCAGGUCCCUGGGCAAACAGUGUGUGAGAUGGGACGGACGUCAAAGGACAAGCGGGAUGUCUACUACCGCCUGGCCAAGGAGAAUGGCUGGCGUGCCCGCAGUGCCUUCAAGCUGCUACAACUCGAUGAGGAAUUCCAACUCUUCCAAGGUGUGACACGGGCAGUUGACCUAUGUGCAGCUCCGGGCAGUUGGAGCCAGGUGCUGAGCCAGAAGAUUGGGGGCCAGGGAUCUGGCCAUGUUGUGGCUGUGGACCUUCAAGCUAUGGCUCCACUACCAGGUGUCUUACAGAUCCAGGGGGACAUCACCCAGCUCUCCACUGCCAAGGAGAUCAUCCAGCACUUUGAGGGCUGCCCUGCGGACCUAGUGCUGUGCGAUGGGGCUCCCGAUGUAACUGGCCUCCAUGAUGUUGAUGAGUAUAUGCAGGCCCAGCUCCUCCUAGCCGCUCUGAACAUUGCUACACAUGUCUUAAAACCAGGGGGCUGCUUUGUAGCCAAGAUCUUCCGAGGCCGGGAUGUGACGCUUAUCUACAGCCAGUUGCGAGUCUUCUUCUCCAGUGUGCUCUGUGCCAAACCCAGGAGCAGCCGGAACUCCAGCAUUGAGGCCUUCGCUGUCUGUCAGGGUUAUGACCCCCCUGAGGGCUUCCUGCCAGACCUGACCAAACCCCUGCUGGAUCAUUCUUACGAUCCAGAUUUCAACCAAUUAGAUGGGCCCACCCGCAUCAUUGUGCCAUUUGUGACCUGUGGGGACCUGAGCUCCUAUGAUUCGGAUCGUAGUUACCCACUGGACCUAGAGGACGGUUCAGAGUACAAGUAUACUCCACCCACACAGCCCCCGAUCUCGCCACCAUAUCAGGAGGCCUGCACAUUGAAGAAGAAAGGGCGAUUGGCCAAGGAGAUCCGCUCCCAGGACUGCCCCAUGAGCACAGUGGACACAUUGCCCCAGCCCCUGGCUGCCCCACAAUGCCAUACCCUGCUGGCCUCUGAGGUCUGGAAACAUGGCCCAGGGCCCUCAGUGCCCUUUCCCUGAACUCACAGUGACCCCUCCCAGUGUGCCUCUUUCUGUCCCCAUAUCACAUGAUUUUGGGGGGGCAAAAUUCUCUUCCCUGUCUCCCAAUAGCUGUAAAAACCAAUAGGUAAAAUCCUAUAUAAUGAAUGAAAAAGCUUAGCUAAGGAUCUGAGUCCCUUUUCUUUUUUUUGAGUAGGUGGAAGGCAGUGAAAUGAACUGUUCACCUUAACACAUUAGUUAGCAAGCAGUCUGAUACAACAUGGAAGCUGUUUGCUAUCAGGAAAACCAGAAUUUGCAUUGAUGAACUUGUUUUCAAUUAUCUCAGCAAUGGGUCCUGAACAUACAAGCCCUGAAUGGGAACCAGCAACCACCACCACGAACAGAGCAAGGAAAAUAACUUCACAGAAUGUCUGUCGGCACUGCAUUCUUGAAUGAAGUCUUGCCUCUCUAAAUCUUCCCAGGGCUCUCCUGAUCAUGUCCAGAAUUUACCCUGAAAGCAGGGUUCUUAACCUAGAUAGAAGUCAGGGGUAUCCAGGAACUUGAUGGAGGAAAAUAUUACAUCUUUAUUUUUACUAAUAUAGUUGAAAUUUAGCUUUACUCUCAAAUAUGAAUGCUGGCAACAAAUUGCAAUAGUAAAAGCAGUGCCUAUGACUUUUCCUCCAGUACAAAUCCAGUCACUUUUUAUGUUACAUUCCAGUUUUCACAGGCAUUUUGAAAUAUUGUUCACAUUUGUCACUAUGAAUCAUAGAUCUUAUAAUUUGAUGUACUAAUAAAGUCCAU